UACGUAGGGUGCGAGCGUUAAUCGGAAUUACUGGGCGUAAAGAGUGCGUAGGCGGUUGCUGAAGUCCGCUGCGAGAGCCCCGGGCUCAACCUGGGAAUGGCAGUGGAAACUAGGCGACUUGAAUCUGGCAGAGGGGGGUGGAAUUCCACGUGUAGCAGUGAAAUGCGUAGAGAUGUGGAGGAACACCGAUGG
rnacentral:rRNA from 1 species